rnacentral:rRNA from 1 species
UGAGGAACUUGCCCAUGAGCGGGGGACAACAUUCGGAAACGGAUGCUAAUACCCCAUAGGUGGAUUGGUCGCAUGACGAAUUCAUUAAAGGUGGCUUUGCUACCACUCAUGGAUAGCCUCGCGGCGUAUUAGCUAGUUGGUAAGGUAAUGGCUUACCAAGGCAGUGAUACGUAGCCGACUUGAGAGGGUGAUCGGCUACACUGGGACUGAGACACGGCCCAG